CCUACGGGUGGCAGCAGUGGGGAAUAUUGGGCAAUGGAGGAAACUCUGACCCAGCAACGCCGCGUGAAUGAUGGAGGUCUUCGGAUUGUAAAGUUCUUUUCUAAGGGAAGAAGAAAGUGACGGUACCUUAGGAAUAAGCCUCGGCUAACUACGUGCCAGCAGCCGCGGUAAUACGUAGGAGGCAAGCGUUAUCCGGAAUGACUGGGCGUAAAGGGUGCGGAGGUGGUUUGACAAGUUGGUAGUGUAACGCCGAGGCUUACCGGCGGCACUACUACCAAAACUGUUGGACUCGAGUGCAGGAGGGGCAGAUGGAAUUGCUGGUGUAGCGGUGGAAUGCGUAGAUAUUA
rnacentral:rRNA from 1 species